rnacentral:rRNA from 1 species
UACGAAGGGUGCUAGCGUUGCUCGGAAUUACUGGGCGUAAAGCGCACGUAGGCGGCUUACUAAGUCAGGGGUGAAAUCCUGGAGCUCAACUUCAGAACUGCCUUUGAUACUGGUGAGCUUGAGUUCGGGAGAGGUGAGUGGAACUGCGAGUGUAGAGGUGAAAUUCGUAGAUAUUCGCAAGAACACCAGUGGCGAAGGCGGCUCACUGGCCCGAUACUGACGCUGAGGUGCGAAAGCGUGGGGAGCAAACAGG